rnacentral:rRNA from 1 species
CCUACGUGUGGCAGCAGUGAGGAAUAUUGGUCAAUGGGCGCGAGCCUGAACCAGCCAAGUAGCGUGAAGGAUGACUGCCCUACGGGUUGUAAACUUCUUUUAUAAAGGAAUAAAGUGAGGCACGUGUGCCUUUUUGUAUGUACUUUAUGAAUAAAGAUCGGCUCACUCCGUUCCAGCAGCCGCGGUAAUACGGAGGAUCCGAGCGUUAUCCGGAUUUAUUGGGUUUAAAGGGGGCGUAGAUGGGUUGUUUAGGCAGUUGUGAAAGUUUGCGGCUCAACCGUAAAAUUGCAAUGGAUACUGGCAGUCUUGAGUACAGUUGAGGUAGGCGGAAUUCGUGGUGUAGCGGUGAAAUGCUUAGAUAUCACGAAGAACUCCGAUUGCGAAGGCAGCUUACUAAGCUGCCACUGACAUUGAUGCUCGAAAGUGUGGGUAUCAAACAGGAUUAGAUACCCUUGUAGUC